AGAGAAGAGAGCACUUGACUAAUUGAUCUUCGCUGCUUAUCUCGUGGUCUCAUCUUCACCUUCUGCAGGUCUGAUCAGAUUAGCUGUAAAUGGAUCCACUCAGUGCUCUGGAAGAGUUGAAAUCUAUAACUCUUACUCUUACCCUUACUAUUCCUGGGGAACAGUGUGUGAUUACGACUGGGACUUAAAAGAUGCUGAGGUGGUCUGUAGAGAGCAGAGCUGUGGGAUAGCUCUGGAGGCUCUUGGGUCUGCUUACUUUGGUCAAGGUACAGGAACUUUCUUGCACAGUAAUGUGGACUGUUCAGGAAGUGAAACUUCUAUAGACAAUUGUAGGUACAGCAGCUAUAUUAGUUAUUCCUGUCACCAUGGUCGGGAUGCUGGCGUCGUCUGUUCAGGUAAGAAAACUUUUCUAUAAUGUUUAUGGUCUUAUCACUUUACAAUAGCUGUUUUUUUCAUGUACUUGUCAAUACUUAGAUUCUAGUUAGUUCUCAUUCCAUCAUAUUUUACUUUCCCUGAAAAUAUGUUCAAAUGAAUUAAACAAACAAAUUUAGGUGUUUGUUUCAUUACACUCACUUUGUCUGUUGAACAUGUCUGCAGCUUAAUGCAUAUUUAAUGAGAUAACUGAUUUGCAUAGUUUAAAGAUUCCAUGUUAACCUGUUUCUUACUGAAAAAAUGUUUUAAUAAUAUUUUCCAAUUAAAAAAUGUAAAUACAUAUCUUUAACGGUGAUUUUAUUUAAUUAGACAAACAGAAUUUUCCACUUCAGCAGCAAUUAGACACACCAAACUUUCUGAUGUUCUGACCUUUAUUUUGAAGGCUUGUGAAGAACUUUGAGCUCAGACGUCACUUAAAGCCUAAUUUACAGACUUUUCAUCUUGAAAAAGCGUGUCACCGUAAAGAUCCUAAAAAUGUGACUGUUGAAAGUAUUUUCUAAUUCAUGCAAUGUUUAGAAAAAGUCAUUUUUCUUUUUAGACAGCAUUACAAUAUGUGCAGCGCAGCAUUUUCAGUGCUUGUCCAAAAAAGUGAACUCUUUAAUUUAAACAUUUCUCUUUAGCAGCAAUAACUUAAAACUAUUGUGUUCAAAAAGCUGCAGGGUUAAAAAAAAGUUUCCACCUAAGCCUAGACUUGUAGUCAAGACCGCCUAAUCCGAGACCAAGACAAGACCAAGACCGAGACAAAAAAAGUCUUUAAACUGCAGCCAGAUGCUGCUUCGU